rnacentral:misc_RNA from 1 species
GAUGAAGAGCGUAGCAAAAUGCGAUAAGUAAUGUGAAUUGCAGAAUUCAGUGAAUCAUCGAAUCUUUGAACGCACAUUGCGCCCAUUAGUAUUCUAGUGGGCAUGCCUGUUCGAGCGUCAUUAAGUCCACUUAAGCCCUGCUUAGUGUUGGGAGACUGCUCCAGCGGUGCUACCCUGUAGCUACCCUGCAGCUCCUCAAAGACAGCGGCGGAGUUGUGGUAUCCUCUGAGCUUAGUAACUUGUUCUAGCUUUCGAGUACACCACUUCCCCUGCCGUAAAACCCUUAAUUUUUAAUGGUUGACCUCGGAUCAGGUAGGAAUACCCGCUGAACUUAAGCAUAUCAAUAAGCGGAGGA